rnacentral:rRNA from 1 species
CGGCAGGCUUAACACAUGCAAGUCGAGCGCCCCGCAAGGGGAGCGGCAGACGGGUGAGUAACGCGUGGGAAUCUACCCAUCUCUACGGAACAACUCCGGGAAACUGGAGCUAAUACCGUAUACGUCCUUCGGGAGAAAGUUUAUCGGAGAUGGAUGAGCCCGCGUUGGAUUAGCUAGUUGGUGGGGUAAUGGCCUACCGAACAAGGCGACGAUCCAUAGCUGGUCUGAGAGGAUGAUCAGCCACAUUGGGACUGAGACACGGCCCAAACUCCUACGGGAGGCAGCAGUGGGGAAUAUUGGACAAUGGGCGCAAGCCUGAUCCAGCCAUGCCGCGUGAGUGAUGAAGGCCCUAGGGUUGUAAAGCUCUUUCAACGGUGAAGAUAAUGACGGUAACCGUAGAAGAAGCCCCGGCUAACUUCGUGCCAGCAGCCGCGGUAAUACGAAGGGGGCUAGCGUUGUUCGGAAUUACUGGGCGUAAAGCGCACGUAGGCGGAUAUUUAAGUCAGGGGUGAAAUCCCGGGCCUCAACCCCGGAACUGCCUUUGAUACUGGGUAUCUCGAGUCCGAGAGAGGUGAGUGGAAUUCCGAGUGUAGAGGUGAAAUUCGUAGAUAUUCGGAGGAACACCAGUGGCGAAGGCGGCUCACUGGCUCGGUACUGACGCUGAGGUGCGAAAGCGUGGGGAGCAAACAGGCAUUAGAUACCCUGGUAGUCCACGCCGUAAACGAUGGAAGCUAGCCGUUGGCAAGUUUACUUGUCGGUGGCGCAGCUAACGCAUUAAGCUUCCCGCCUGGGGAGUACGGUCGCAAGAUUAAAACUCAAAGGAAUUGACGGGAGGCCCGCACAAGCGGUGGAGCAUGUGGUUUAAUUCGAAGCAACGCGCAGAACCUUACCAGCCCUUGACAUCCCGGUCGCGGUCUCCAGAGAUGGAGACCUUCAGUUCGGCUGGACCGGUGACAGGUGCUGCAUGGCUGUCGUCAGCCGUGUCGUGAGAUGUUGGGUUAAGUCCCGCAACGAGCGCAACCCUCGCCCUUAGUUGCCAGCAUUCAGUUGGGCACUCUAAGGGGACUGCCGGUGAUAAGCCGAGAGGAAGGUGGGGAUGACGUCAAGUCCUCAUGGCCCUUACGGGCUGGGCUACACACGUGCUACAAUGGUGGUGACAGUGGGCAGCGAGACCGCGAGGUCGAGCUAAUCUCCAAAAGCCAUCUCAGUUCGGAUUGCACUCUGCAACUCGAGUGCAUGAAGUUGGAAUCGCAUAGUAA